rnacentral:rRNA from 1 species
UACGGAGGAUGCGAGCGUUAUCCGGAUUUAUUGGGUUUAAAGGGAGCGUAGGCGGGAGGUCAAGUCAGCUGUGAAAUGUAUCUGCUUAACGGGUACACUGCAGUUGAAACUGGUUUUCUUGAGUGCGUAAGAGGCAGGCGGAAUUCGUUGUGUAGCGGUGAAAUGCUUAGAUAUCACGAGGAACUCCGAUUGCGCAGGCAGCUUACUAAACUACUACUGACGCUCAGGCACGAAGGCGUGGGGAUCAAACAGGAUUAGAUACCCCGGUA